GUGGGGAAUCUUGCGCAAUGGGCGAAAGCCUGACGCAGCCAUGCCGCGUGAAUGAUGAAGGUCUUAGGAUUGUAAAAUUCUUUCACCGGGGACGAUAAUGACGGUACCCGGAGAAGAAGCUCCGGCUAACUUCGUGCCAGCAGCCGCGGUAAUACGAAGGGGGCUAGCGUUGCUCGGAAUUACUGGGCGUAAAGGGCGCGUAGGCGGACAGCUUAGUCAGAGGUGAAAGCCCAGGGCUCAACCUUGGAAUUGCCUUUGAUACUGGCUGUCUUGAGUUUGGGAGAGGUGAGUGGAACUCCGAGUGUAGAGGUGAAAUUCGUAGAUAUUCGGAAGAACACCAGAGGCGAAGGCGACUCACUGGCCCAAUACUGACGCUGAGGCGCGAAAGCGUGGGGAGCAAACAGGAUUAGAAACCCCGGUAGUCC
rnacentral:rRNA from 1 species